GGAUUCUCACUCCUGCUAUAUCUGGUACAUUCAUGCUAGCCCGUAAAGCCAUUUCUUUGUGUUUAUCUGUUCAUCUACAAAUAAUGCUUCCAUAGAUGUUAUGUAUACCAUGUCUAUUUCUGUGUUUUAAAGCAAAUCAGUGCAAGAAAUAGCCAAAAAUAGUCAAUUGAGCACAAGACUAAGAUGCGAAAAUGGUUUAUAUAGGCUUGUCAAAAUUUGCAAGAUAGUUAUAAAUUGAAAGAAUAUUGUUCUUUCAUUUUCAGAUAUUGCUCAGUAUAUUCUAAAUUCUAAUAUAUCUCAUCCAGCGCCUUGAAGUGACAAAACAUAAUGCUUUCGGUAGACAAAUCACGUGGAUAUGGUUUCUGAGUACCCUAUAUUCCAAGUAUUCUGUGAUAUUUCAAUAGCCUUUUCAUGGAUAAUGGCUCUGGUCUGGGGACGUGCAUAUUAUUAAGAAUAAAAGCUUUUGAAAUGUAAAAUGCUCUAGAAUUUUAGAGACUUGCAUUGCAAUGUAAAAUGAAAAAGUAUUACAUUGUAAACCCCAACUUUUUAAACGAGUGAUUGAUAGUUUUAUAUAUUUAGACCUUCAAAUGUUUUUGAUUGAGUUUCAUGAAACAUUGUUUGAAGAUUUGAGUUCAGAAACACUGGCUAAAGAAUUACUUGAUUGAAGUUUUUCAGUUGACACACUGAGUGACACUGGUCUGCAUUACUGGUGAAUCAGAAAAUCAAAAUCAUAAGUCAUAAGACUUAGACUUCCAUUUGAUUUUUGAGUGCAGCAUAUGGCAUGUGCUAGUGAUAUACAUCUGGGUUAUAUAGAAAAGUUACAAAGAACUUUUGAGCUUAUAUCUUUGAUUUUACUGACAUGAUACAAUAUGUUUUUCCUUGUCCUUUUUAGUUCCUACGAAUAUCUUUAACCAUACUACUUCUGA
rnacentral:misc_RNA from 1 species